rnacentral:rRNA from 1 species
GAUGAAUGCUAGCUACAGGCUUAACACAUGCAAGUCGCGGGGCAGCAUGGGGGUUGCUUGCAAUCCCCGAUGGCGACCGGCGCACGGGUGAGUAACGCGUAUCCAACCUGCCCUUCACCACGGGAUAACCCGGCGAAAGUCGGACUAAUACCGUAUGUUGUCCAUUGACGGCAUCCGAUUUGGACGAAAGGUUUGGCGGUGAAGGAUGGGGAUGCGUCCGAUUAGCUGGACGGCGGGGUGACGGCCCACCGUGGCGACGAUCGGUAGGGGUUCUGAGAGGAAGGUCCCCCACACUGGAACUGAGACACGGUCCAGACUCCUACGGGAGGCAGCAGUGAGGAAUAUUGGUCAAUGGGCGUAAGCCUGAACCAGCCAAGUAGCGUGCAGGAUGACGGCCCUAUGGGUUGUAAACUGCUUUUAUGCGGGGAUAAAGUGGCCCACGUGUGGGUUUUUGCAGGUACCGCAUGAAUAAGGACCGGCUAAUUCCGUG